rnacentral:rRNA from 1 species
UACGUAGGGGGCAAGCGUUGUCCGGAAUUAUUGGGCGUAAAGAGCGCGUAGGCGGUCCGAUAAGUCGGCUGUGAAAGUCAAGGGCUCAACCCUUGAAAGCCGGCCGAUACUGUCGGACUAGAGUCCGGAAGAGGCGAGUGGAAUUCCCGGUGUAGCGGUGAAAUGCGGCAGAUAUCGGGAGGAACACCAAUGGCGAAGGCAGCUCGCUGGGACGGUACUGACGCUGAGGCGCGGAAAGCGUGGGGAGCAACAGGG